rnacentral:rRNA from 1 species
GCUUGCGGCAAUGUCACGUUGAAAGCACCGGUUCUCGUCCGAUCACCGAAGUUAAGCAACGUCGAGCCUAGUUGGUACUUAGAUGGGUGACCGCUUGGGAAACCUAGGUGUUGUAAGUG